GCUGUCCCUACCAGUCACUAAUUGAGAAAAUGCCCUACAGGCCUGCCUACAGCCAGAUCUUAUGGAGGCAUUUUCUCAGGAGAGCACCUGCCUUCAUCUCACUGAUGCUGCUUUUUGCUUUCUGAUUCAGAGUCUUGGUUCACAGAGAAGAAAGGGGUGUAAGUAACCAUGGGGCACAGGCAAGCCCAGCAGCCUGGACUGAGGGUGAAGACAAUCUGGCCGGCCUCCCACAUCCCUGUCUUCCAGUGGGUUUAAGGUUGUUGGACCCAUAAAUCCCAGGAACUGGUUAUGAGUGCACUGGAACCAGGGAGGAUGCCUGACCACAGCAAGGCAAACACGAGCCUUUCCGAUGGUGCUGAUAUACAGAUGAGGCUACAGAAGCAGAGGGAGCAGGCUACUGUACUGCCGAGUUCCAGCUUCAUUGGCCCAUGUGUGUGUUGAUCUUCAUAGCUGUUAGAAAUGCUCAGGAUUCACCGAAGUGUUUUCUUAUAAACUCAGAGACACUGGAGCUUCAUUUUCUGGAACCAUGGACUGGAUGACAGCCAAAUCAAAUGCACCCCGAUGGAGAAGGCUCGGAGACAUGAGCUCUCAACUCAGGUUUCCGGUGGCCGAGCAUUCAACCCGCAGGCUGGAAGCUGAGGUCAUGGAUCACUUUCUCAUUUCUACCAAGUGUCAGGUCACCUCAUGCUCCCUGACAUAAUUGUCUGACAUCAUGCAUAACAAAUGGCUUUCAGCCCAUUUCCUCAUUCAGACAGAUUUCUAAUCAGCUAUGAAAAACUGCAAUUAAUAUCUCUCCAUUUAGAUGAUGCUAGCGAGGAAAGUGUUGAGAGUGGCUGUGGAGUGGUAGUCUAAGGGUCAAAUAGAGAAGCAGCUC
rnacentral:lncRNA from 1 species